rnacentral:rRNA from 1 species
UACGGAGGGUGCAAGCGUUGUCCGGAUUUAUUGGGUUUAAAGGGUGCGUAGGUGGCUUUAUAAGUCAGUGGUGAAAGCCUGCAGCUUAACUGUAGGACUGCCAUUGAUACUGUAGAGCUUGAGUACUGAUGAGGUAGGCGGAAUUGAUAGUGUAGCGGUGAAAUGCAUAGAUAUUAUCAAGAACACCGAUUGCGAAGGCAGCUUACUAAGGAGUUACUGACACUGAGGCACGAAAGCGUGGGGAUCAAACAGGAUUAGAAACCCUUGUAGU